rnacentral:tmRNA from 1 species
GGGGGUGAUCGGUUUCGACGGUGAUCGUCGAGCCAGGAGAAGCGGGUCGAGGAUGCACGGUUAUCUCGUAAACGAUCCGUGCAAACCAAUAGGUGCCGAUUCCAAGCGCACCGACUUCGCACUCGCCGCCUGAGCGAGUCUUCGAAGUCCGUUGGCCUGAGUACGCUCUCGACUCAGUAACCAGCGUCAUCUAGAGAGCCACUGCUGGUCGUCAUCGUCAGUGUGACGGCCGGGACUCUUAGCUGACUGAGCCCGUCCAUCUUCCUGUCUGCGGGGGGAUGGGGGCCGAGAAAAUCAUCAGCAGACUGCACCCGGAGAAGUCCUGGUUUCUCGUCAUCGGACGCGGGUUCGAUUCCCGCCACCUCCACUA